AGUCAAUUAAUUUUAUUUAUUGUAAUAAUAAUAAUAAUUUUAAUGCAUUUUAUAUAUAAUAAUUUAAGUCACAUAAAAUAAUUUUAUAAGAAACUUUUCUAAUAAAAUAAAAUAAUUAUCAUUGAAUAAGAGAUAUUUUUUGGAAUAAAAAAAUAUAUAACUACCAAGUUAGCUUAACUGGUUCUGAGAUCAAAGACCUCCCAUGAGAUCUUGUGCUCA
rnacentral:misc_RNA from 1 species